rnacentral:rRNA from 1 species
UGCCAGCCGCCGCGGUAAUACGGAGGGGGCAAGCGUUGUUCGGAAUUACUGGGCGUAAAGGGCGCGUAGGCGGUUUGUAAGUCGGAUGUGAAAUCCCAGAGCUCAACUCUGGAACUGCAUUCGAAACUAUGAGACUAGAGUCCGGCAGAGGGUGGUGGAAUUCCCCGUGUAGAGGUGAAAUUCGUAGAUAUCGGAAGGAACACCGGUGGCGAAGGCGACUUCCUGGGCCAAUACUGACGCUGAGGCGCGAAAGCGUGGGUAGCAAACAGGAUUAGAUA